GGGCGUGUAGCUCAGUGGUAGAGCGCCCGCUUUGCACGGUCACAUGACUACCAGUGCGGGAGGUCUAGGGUUCGAUCCCCUACCCGUCCA